rnacentral:siRNA from 1 species
AGAAGUCCUCGUGUUGCAUCCCU